UUGUCUUGCGAGAGACAUUCAAGUUCAUUAGAAAUGGACAAGGUAUUAGGUGGCAAAAAGAGGAGAUAUGGGGAACGAAAAGGAACGGAAACAGCUGUACUCCCUGAACGAGACCCCAAGCUGCACCGAGGCUGCAGAGGUAACCACGGGUGCUUGGGCUUCCACCUAGCCCUGCAAAGCUCAGGGCGCCCAGGUAGGGGCCGCCAAGGACCGGGGGAAGCCCAGAAGACGGUUCCCAUUAGAGGGCGCUCUUUAGGCGACGUAGGGAAACGAGCUCCAGCCACCGAAACCCACCCAAAGGAGAAAUCAAGUUCCCGUUGCUGGAAACCAAGUGCCUGCUGCUUGCAAGGGUUAGGAGAAGAGACUCCUCCGGGCCUUGAGCGCACCGGGGCCAGGGCCAGCGACUGCGAGCCUGGCGAGCUGGUGGCCUGGAUCGCCGAGCUGCCACGCCACCCGAGGCGGAGCGGUGUCACACGCAUCCCGCUUUGCCCUGCAUGCUGCACUCCAGUGCAGUCAGUGUUAAAAUGUCCUCCUGCCCCUCAGGGCCCGAGGGCCGCCCUUAGUCCUUCAAGAAAGAAGGGGACGCCGCAGGGCCGGGAUUCCAGCGACUGGUGCCCCAGCACUUUCUGGCCGUUUCGCUAACCUCCGUGGGAACGCAGACUGCGCCUCCACGGGUAGCAUUUCCACAUAGUGUCUGCUCCCUCACCCUAACCACGGAGAACAUAAAACAAAAGAACUUUUUGCAAACUUUCCUCUCCCAAUACUCACGACUUUCUUAAAUCAGGGUCACCUCUCCCCAGAACUUGCAUUCAAUAGAGCAGGAGAGCUGGCGGGGGAGAUGCUGUGCAGAGGAAGGGACUUCAAAGUUUCCUGGCCGCCCCUGGGUCUCAAGGAGCCCGCGGAGAGAACGCGUUCCCUCGCAAGCCCUCUCUGGGUUCCCGCCACCCUUUUCCCUUUGGUCCUUCCCAGGCGACGCAGCAAGACUCUACAAGGGCGAAGAAAUUGCAGAUUUGGUGGGAACAAUGGAACCCAGAGCAAAUUUCUGAGCUUCAGGGACAAUGGGAAACACAGGCUCGGUACUCUCCACACGCUUUGCGUUCAUACCCUUUUUUGCCAUCUUUGAAGCGCUAAGAAUACAGACCGCCCUCGAAUUUCCUUGGAAGGGACUGCACCUGUCCUCCUCAUUAACCAGAUGGCAGUCAAGCUUCAGCCAAGGGAGGCCCCGCCCUACACGUGUGCCGACGUUGGAGGCCUGCAAACCAAAGUGCCUCGGAAGGCAGGAGAGUGACAGAGAGCCCAAGAAGAAACUCUCUCAACAUGUAUAUUUCUCACUGGAGUCACAGAAGAGAAGACCAUGUCACCCAUCUGUGGGGACACAAACUUAAUGUACAGCCCAGAGAUGUGUCAUUGGAUUGCAGGGAUGGGAAGAGCCUUCAGAGUUAAGUGCUCCAUCACUCAGCCUCUGGAGAUGCUUUACCUCAAUCACCCAGGACAGAUAGGUACCAGACUCAGUUUAUAGCGUCUCUGGGAAAAGAUUUCUCAUUCCAACCCCUGCUUGUUUUUGUUACGAAGUUUCACCCCUGCUUAGUCAUAGAAUCAUACUCGUUUUCUUUAUGUGGAACCUACUGGAAAAUAAUUUACAAUGAUUUGCAUGUGGAUCACAAAUUUACCUAAAGAUCAUCAAUUUAAAUUAGGUUUAAUUAGUAUUGCAGAUGGAGAUUUUGAACCUGAGUCCAUAAAACAGAUCUUUUACCGUCCUGUAACAGGUCUGUCUCUUUCAGACCAUGUCAUAGCAUCGAUGUGGGGUCCCAGGGUUCAGUAACAGGACAGAGAAUGUUGGUGGUCCUUUUCUUCAUCAAAAGAUAUUGCAUUAAUUUAAUUUUAGUUGAAUCAAACCCAAUUUCUUUUUAGCCCUGAAGAGUGUAGGGGAUGAAAUAGUCUUUUAAAAAAGUAAUUAUUUUAAACAAUAACAACAGCAACAACAACCAAAAAUGACUUACAAACAACGCAUUUAAAUCUAAUUCUAAUCCUCAGGGGCUUUUUCCUUUUAACUUCUUUAGGUCACAGGGAAACAAGGGGCAAAAAUACCAAGGCUGUGUUCCAUUUUAGCCAAUCACAUACUGGAAAUAGAACAAGAAAGCUCAACUUACAAAUCAAAUACAAGAUCCCACCCUCAGAUAGAUAUUUUAUCUAGUAAUAAAAAUGUUAAAUGUCUUCCUAUCUGUAAAGAAUGUAAAAUAUGCCAGGAAACUUAUCCAAACUUGAUCAUUCUGAGAGAGGCCAUAAAUUUCAUCUUUCUACUAUAGUCUGAUGCUCUCCUUUCCUGAUGAUAUUUUCUUCUUGGUACCUCUCAGUUUGCUUGCCUUCAAUAUUUUUACAGCAGAUCCUUUGCCAUAGGCUAAAGGAUACUUUUUUUUUUUACAGGUAGGGUUUGAAUUAUGGUUCUGCUACCCAGCUUUAGUGCUCUCCAGGUGGAUAUCCAAGAUGUGAGUCAUAGAGGCACACAUCAGUUUGAGGUGGAAGGUGGUGAUGAUGGCUCUAUCGCUUUUAUAGACAAUAGGAAACAGCAAAGCACAUUUAGGGGUAGGGAUUGGGAGAAGAUAUAUAAGCAUUUAAUUUCUUUUUAGUUAGAAAAAUCUCUUACGUAGUCAUGUUGUUAAUAGCAAUCUAAAUAAAGGCUUAAUUGAGGCUGGUGCUAAGGUUAUCUGAAGGCUGAAAUAGGUUUUAAAAGUAAAGCUGAAGGCUGCACUCUUUGACAAUUAGUAAAUGGACUACAAGUGAUAUUUCUGUUUUCAUUUUAUGUUCAAAGACAUGGACUCAUAGCCUCCACACUCCCCAUUAAAUUGGAAGCUAUACAAAUUCUUUUGGAUUCAGAUUAAAAAGUUCUUGGUUUCUUGCUUUGCCUCUGCCAUGAAUGUGAUGAAUUUGGAAAAAAAAUCACUCUAAAUUUUUCAUCUGUUUUUGUUACUCUAUUAAACAGAGAUGACCAACACAUUUUACAAGGCCUUUGUUAGAAAUAAAAUUAACUCAGUAUGAUUAACUACUACAUGCUAUGUUUACACACAAUUCCUGAUUUUUUCCCUUGAAGUAAUUUGAAAGGCAUCUGGAUUCUGGUCUCCAUUCUUGGUUUAGAACUGAAAAGGGUAAAGCAAAAAUUAUAGAAAAGACUAGGGAUGAAGGUCCCAAAGCAUGUAUUACAGCGUAUUUUUAAGAGAAAUUGGAGAAAGGAGUAAAAGUGUCUUUCCUGUCCUUUCUUUCUAGGCUUCAACUUUAUGUUCUUAAAAAAAAAAAGCAAAGAAUUGUAUUAGAGACUCCCAAUGUGAAAGUGUCAAAACUUAGAUGCCAGUGUGAGAAGUAGACAGAGGGGCCAGGGAAGGAGUCCCUUGUCUUUCAUCCCUUUCAAGUGUCCCUUUGAUGAGUGAGCACCUGGUCCGCAGGCAGGACCUGCAGCCUGUCAGCCAACACGUGGCCAGGAUGGGGCCAGCCCCUCCAGGACAGUCAUGCAGCAGGGCUGGAGGGGCCUGUUCCCUCAUCGGGUCAGUGUUUCCCACGGGUCGGUGUGCUUGUGUUUGGCUCCCACAGCUGUGUAGAUAAUAUAAGAAGGAAGGAGAUAAAGAAGCAAGUGGGUAGUGCAAAGUCACUCAUCACCAGUUUUCUUGUCCUGUUCAGUGGCAAAUGGUUGGUCACUGUUGGCUCUUUUCUAUCCUGGGCGAGACACUGUUCUUUCAAUUUAUGUCUCCACCUCCAGUGGGCCAUACACUCAGUGUCAUUUCCAGUGAAUUCAUGUGAUAUUCUUAUAACUCCCAGAAUAACUUGCCAAUGGCCAUAGUUCUUUUGAAAACAAAAAGUGUGUGUGUAUGUGUGUGUGUAGAAAGCAUCUGUAUGGAUGGAGUGGAAGAGGAGUUUAAAUGGAGGCAGGGUUCUUUUGGACAGCGGGGAAGUUGGGAAGGAGCACAAACAUGUAAACUAUAGAAAAUGGAAUGAAGUGAAACCAUAAAGCACUGAGACUCUCUGGCAUAAAUGCUUACAUAGUAAGCAGUGUAUCACCUAUGGGAAAAAUAAAACAAAAAGAUAAUAGUAUGAACUGCUGAGCUGUCUCAAAAUUU